GAACCUGCGGAGGGAUCAUUACUGAGUGAGGGCUCACGCCCGACCUCCAACCCUUUGUGAACCAAACUUGUUGCUUCGGGGGCGACCCUGCCGACGACUCCGUCGCCGGGCGCCCCCGGAGGUCUUCUAAACACUGCAUCUUUGCGUCGGAGUUUAAAACAAAUUAAACAAAACUUUCAACAACGGAUCUCUUGGUUCUGGCAUCGAUGAAGAACGCAGCGAAAUGCGAUAAGUAAUGUGAAUUGCAGAAUUCAGUGAAUCAUCGAAUCUUUGAACGCACAUUGCGCCCUUUGGUAUUCCGAAGGGCAUGCCUGUUCGAGCGUCAUUUCACCACUCAAGCCUGGCUUGGUAUUGGGCGUCGCGGUGUUCCGCGCGCCUUAAAGUCUUCCGGCUGAGCUGUCCGUCUCUAAGCGUUGUGGAUUUUUCAAUUCGCUUCGGGAGUGCGGAUGGCCGCGGCCGUUAAAUCUUUAUUCAAAGGUUGACCUCGGAUCAGGUAGGGAUACCCGCUGAACUUAAGCAUAUCAAUA
rnacentral:rRNA from 1 species